GACGAAUGCUGGCUGCGUGCUUAACACAUGCAAGUCGAACGGUGAACAGGGGCUUGCCCCUGGGAUCAGUGGCGAACGGGUGAGUAACACGUGGGCAACCUGCCCCUCACUCUGGGAUAACUCCGGGAAACCGGGGCUAAUACCGGAUACGACCAGGCGCGACAUCGGGUCUGGUGGAAAGAACUUCGGUGAGGGAUGGGCCCGCGGCCUAUCAGCUAGUUGGUGAGGUAACGGCUCACCAAGGCGACGACGGGUAGCCGGCCUGAGAGGGCGACCGGCCACACUGGGACUGAGACACGGCCCAGACUCCUACGGGAGGCAGCAGUGGGGAAUAUUGCGCAAUGGGCGAAAGCCUGACGCAGCGACGCAGCGUGAGGGACGACGGCCUUCGGGUUGUAAACCUCUUUCAGCGGGGACGAAGCGAAAGUGACGGUACCCGCAGAAGAAGCACCGGCUAACUACGUG
rnacentral:rRNA from 1 species